rnacentral:lncRNA from 1 species
GCACCACUCUGUACAGCUAUAGGAUCUCGGUUCAUUAGUUGUGUUAUGCUACGAUAAUUUAGUUUGAAUAUUCGCUUAGAUGAGAAAAUGCAAUGAAAAGUCUAAAGGCUGCUUAGUGGGUAGCUGAUUGCACUAUGCAAAUUCUCAUUCCAUUUUGAAACAUUUAUUCAAACACAACACAACACACACACACACUUAUAUGCACAUGUAGCACACUCAGAAACACAUUAAAGAACAUAAGUGAAUAUGCUUUUCUCUUUCUUGUCUCUCUCUUUCUCUCAGCUCUCUCAUUACCCCCCUCUCUCUCUCUCUCUCUAAGUAAAGGGAUAGUAACAGGAAUGAGUAAUUGCUUCAUACGUACAUAUGAAUAAUCAGUUAUUAUACGAAGUUGAGGUGUUCAGGUGUUCAUGACUUUUCUCAAUGCUGUUAACCUCAUGAAGCAUAUUUUGAACACCGAGUUUAGCCUAAAUGAACGUAGUGGCAAUCAUAUUAUCUAAACCUACAAAUUGAUAAUUCAGAAUGAACCUUCCUCACAGUCAAGCAUUUCUGAAAGGCUUUAAAGUGAACUAAAUUACUUCAACAAAGAAGGAAUCAAUACCAGGAUGCAACUCGCUUCAUUAGGUGUUCAUCACUAAUUAAUGUUUUCCAAUUUACAAGGAUCCAAAAGCUUGAUGUUCAACGCUAGUUUAUGUAACCUUAAGUAGAGGAGGACUACAUAUGUCGGCCUACAGAAAAUAGCUUUACCAGUGAGUGGAUGCUGAAUUGAAUUCAGUACUACAAGCCAAAAGACAAUUCAUACAUUUUUAUACAUGCUUAUAUGCUCAGUAGCGUGUAUGAGCGACUAAGUUCUCGGGAGUUCUGCACAUCGAUAAAGAUAAAUUGAAUGAUUUAUUUUGGAUCAAUAUGAACAUAUGGAUUAUCAAUAACUUAAAAUCCUUAUCCUGAGAGCGCCAUCAAAGGUGAGAAAAUUAAGUACAAAUCCGGACUAGAAUAAAAUGUACAGGCAUUGAUCGGUUUGAAAUGUAAUCUGAACAGCAAAAUUGUUCUGAACGCUCGAGUGUUGCUGGUCUGUAGAGUUACUCUGAACUGCUGUUGUUGUGUGUGAUGAAUCUGGCUAUAAGUCGGAUUCACUUUCAAGAUUACCUAGCUGUCUAUCUCUUAUAGAUAAGGUAAGCAGUUUUCCUAUCUUCACUGUCUAUGGCGAAAAAGGUAGAAUUGCGGACAAUAUAGAAAGGAAUGGGGUCGACUUACCUACUCACUCGAAAUUGCUGGGCUUGAUCCAAAAUUUAAAACUAUUAUUAUUAUUAUUAUUAUUAUUAUUAUUAUUAUUAUUAUUAUUAUUAUUAUUAUUAUUAUUAUUAUUAUUAUUAUUCAGUAGUAUAUUUUUUAUAUCGUGCUUUCACUUCACUACCGAGCGCAGCUCUGUGUGCCUUGGGUAUGUGCUGUGAUUUGUUGUGAUGCUCUGAUGGUUAUUGUAUGGAAAGUGUUCUGCGUAGGAUGUGUGCAGUGCCUAGUAGUGCAAUUUUCUGUAUGUUAUGUGUUUGUAAGUCCUGGUGUUUUUGUUAUGUAUUUGUCUGAAUAUUUUUUUAUCAUGCCUAAUGCACCUAUUAUGAUAGGAAUUGUUUCUGGUUUUAGAUUCCACAUUCUGGUUACCUCUAUUUCCAGGCCUUUGUAUUUUGAAAGUUUCUCCAUUUCUUUUAGAGACACAUUGUCAUCCUCUGGUAUUGAUACAUCAAUUAGAACACAUUUUUUUUCUUCAUGAUCUCUGACAACUAUAUCUGGUCUGUUGGCCUUAAUUUCUCUAUCUGUGUGUAUUGGCAUAUCCCAGAGUAUGGUUGCUUUCUCGUUUUCUGUGACCUUUUCUGGUGUGUGCCUAUACCAUCUUUUUUCUGUUGUUAUUCCAUAAUGUUGGCAUAGUUUCCAGUGUAUAUAGGUCCCAACUCUGUCGUGUCUGUGAAUAUAUUCCUUGUUAGCCAGGACUGGGCAGCCAGAGAUAAUAUGAUUUAUUGUUUCUCGUCCAUCUCCACAUAUUCUGCAGUUACUUGUUAUAUUUCUUUUCAUUACAUGUUUUUGGUAAUUUCUGGUGGGGAGGCUUUGGUCUUGUGCUGCAAUUAAAAAUCCUUUAGUCUUUGCUUUGAGUCCUGAGCUUCACAACCAUUGUUGGGAUUUUUCUUUGUCUAUUUCCUUUGCAUUUAGUUUAGUCCAGUAUUUGCCAUGAAGGUGCUUUUCUUGCCAUCGUUUUAUCGUGGUUCGUUGCUGUUCUAUAUUUAGUUUGGAUUUCAUUUAUUUUAUAGCUUUUGUUGUUUCUUCUUCUUCUUCUUCUUCUUCUUCUUCUUCUUCUUCUUCUUCUUCUUCUUCUUCUUCUUCUUCUUCUUCUUCUUCUUCUUCUUCUUCUUCUUCUUCUUCUUCUUCUUCUUCUUCUUCAUAUUUGUUAGGUGGUAUGAUUUCUUGUUUGUAUUUGUCAGCUUCCUUAAAUACUGAGAACAGUUUUUUGUUUUGCUCGUGUUUUGCCGCUAUUUGUAUCAGUUUUCCUUCCUUCUGAAGUAGAUAUUUUUGCAGUCCUAUGGUGGUUAUAUUAUAGUAGUUUUCCAGCUGUAUAAGGCCUCCACCACCAUCUAUACGUUGUAUAUACAACCUUUCUAUGUCAGAUUUUGGGUGAUGCAUCCUAGAUCCUGUCAUUAUUUUUCUUGUUUUCCUAUCUAUUUUGGUCAGUUCAUUUAGUGUCCAGUUAAGGAUAUUGUAGCUGUUACUUAUAACUGGGACGGCUAAAGUGCUGAUACCUAUUAUCUUGUUUUUAGCAUUGAGCUCUGUUUUCAGUAUUGAUCUAACUCGUCUAUAAUAUUCUUUUUUUUAUUUUCUCUUUCAUUUGUGUGUGUUGUGUCUUAUCUAGUUCAUGGAUUCCUAAGUAUUUGUAAGUUUGGUUUUGGUCUAAUUCUUUUAUUUCAUUGGUUUUAUCUAGUGUGAUGUUGCUACUCUUAAUUAGUUUUCCUCUUUUCAGGGUUACUUUGGAGCAUUUCUCUAAUCCAAAUUUCAUAUCUAUUUCUUUGGUAAAUCCAUGAACUGUCUUUAGUAGUGUUUCUAGCUGUUUGUCAUUUCUAGCUGUUUGUAGCGUAUAGUUUUAGGUCAUCCAUAUAUAAAAAGUGGCUGAUCUUUUUGCCGUAACAUUUAUAUCCGCAUCCAGUUCUGUUUAGCAUAUCCGAUAGAGGUGACAGUGCCAAGCAGAAAAGGAGUGGAGAGAGCGUAUCUCCCUGGAAUAUUCCUCUUCUAAUGGGGAUGGCUUUGGUUUUCACAAGUCCCUCUUUUGUUUGGAGCUGUAGAACUGUUUGCCAUUUAUUUAUAGAGUUGUUGCAACUUUGUUCAUGGCUAGUGUUUCGAGAAUCCAUGUGUGGGGGAUGCUAUCAAACGCUUUUUUGUAGUCGAUCCAGGCCAUACUGAGGCCUUUCUUCUUUCUGUGGCUGUCUUCAGUUAUGGCUUUAUUAAUCAUUUGUUGAUCUUUACAGCCAUAUGAGCCUUUGCGGCAUCCUUUCUGCUCUUCUGGAAACCGGUUGUUUUCGUCCAGGUGCUUGUUCAAUCUUUGCGAUAUUACUGCAGUAAAUGCUUUGUACAUUGUAGGGAGACAGGUUAUUGGUCUGUAGUUUUCUGGUUUUGCUGUCUCGUUUGAUUUGGGAAUUAAGAUGGUUUUCCCCUUCGUGAGCCAUUCAGGCAUUGUCUCUGGCUCUGCCAGUAUGUUGUUAAAGUUUUCAGCCAGCUUUUUGUGCAUUCCUGUUAGAUAUUUCAACCAGAAGUUGGGGAUCUUGUCAUGUCCAGGUGCCUUCCAGUUGCUUAGUCUUUGCAGUGCCUGGGUGACCUCUUCAGUUGUUAUGGGGGUCCAAAGUUGCUCAGAUGCUGAGUUUGUUGUUUUAAUACUCCCUUUUUUUGGUUGUUCGUUCGCCGACCAUAUUUCUCUCCAGAAUUCUUCCACUUCUUCUGUCGUUGGUGCUGUAGUGAUUUCUAUUUUAUUUUUGCCAAGUUCUUGGUAGAACUUUUUGGGGUUGGAGUUGAACUGUUUGUUUUGUUCAAAGAAACGUUGGCGUUUCUCGUACCGGCGGAUCCUUUGUGCUUUGGCAAGGAUAUCUUGCUUCAGCUUUUCUUUUAUCUCAAGUAAAUCUUUUUCUGUGGUGUUGUAUUUGCGGAGUAUUUUUGUUUUCUUUUUGUUGCUCAGUAGCGUUGAUUGUCUACUGAUUUCAUUAAGAAUCGACAGAUCUUUUCUCAUUUUUGUAUUUUGUUUUGGAUGUUAUUUAUCCACAGGGUUUGUUUGGGUGGUGGUACUCCUAUUUGGAUGGGUUUCAGUGAGUAUCCAGCUUCUCUUGUGGCUGCAGUGGCUGCUGCGCAUACUAAGUCAUUUAGCUCAGUGAUAUCGUUUUUUGUUUCAGUGGCUAUUAGUUCCGUGACGGCUAGGUUUAUGUUGUUUAUAAUUGAUGUUGUUGUUUCGUCUAUUUUGAUUCUUGGGAGGUAUGGUCGGUGGUCCAUUUUGAGCUCUGUGGUUUUCAGUUCUUUGAUUAUUCUAUUUUUUUAUAGUUUCAUAAUCAUUAGGCUCCCCUUCGUUGUUUCCAGGUUUUAGAUUUGUGUCGCUUUCUAUCUCAUCCGUAUGUUUGUUUGUCGUGUUUUGGCUUGCUGUUUGUCGUGUAUUAUUAUGUAUCCUUACGGUCUGGGUUUGUUGUUUUUUGUUUACAUCGUUUUUGUUGGAAAUGUUACGUUUAUCUUCGUGUUUUAUUGUUACAGUGUUUAUAUUAUUUGGCAUUGUUGUGUGGCUUCUAUUUACAUUUCCUGAUGUAUUUUUUCUUUUAAAUGUUCUAUUUCUAUUUCUGAUAUUUUUUUUUGCGUUCAGAAUAUAUCUCCGUAUAUUUGCUAGUUUAUUAGGGUUCAUUGAUGUAUCCAGGUCUUUAUUUAUGUUAUUUUUCUUCCAUAUUUUGUAUGUAUGUGUUGUAUUUUCAUUCUUUGGGUAGAGCACUUCUGUAAAGUAAGCGUGUAGGAUAGAAAUGUAUUCCUCACGUGUCCAUUUAUGUCUUUUGGGUUUAUUUUAUGUCAAUGUUUUGAUUUGUACUCUACAGGUGUUAAAACCCUACAUCAAGAGAUUAAGUAGUCGACUAUUUCUAUUCCAUCGUUGCAGUAUCGACACUUUGGGUCUACACCAUUUUUCAUCACAUUGGCUUGAUAGUUCCGGGUCAAUAAGCUCUGAUAUUGGGUUGCUAAGGGUAAAGCCUUCACUCUCUGCCUUUAGCCCUGAGCUCCGUAGCCACUGAUUGGUCUGCUUCUGAUCUACAUCAGUUAGUUUGCUACGGGCCACAUAUUUGCCAUGCAGAGGUUGUUGUUCCUACCUGUCAGCCAAUUGUUUAAGCGCAUUUUGCUUUGCUAUUGAUUUCACCUUCUUUGCAACUACAGUUCCUGCACUUUCCUCAUACUGUUUAACCUGGGUAUUAUUUCAACUUACUUGAAAUCUUUUUUGCUCUCCUUCAUAACAGAAUGAAGUUACUUACGUCUUUCAUGGUUUUCAACGAGCAUCCAGUCGUGAGAUGUUUCAAGAUAUUUUGCCAGUUCAAUUGUGGUGGUUUUGUAGGAGAUUUCAAAUUGGAUCAAGCCUCGACCUCCUUGAGCUCUGGGUGGGUAAAGACAACAUGCGUCUGCCUUUGGGUGGUAUAGCUUAUCGCAAGUCAACAGGUUACGGAUUUUCCUGUCAAUCUUCCUUAUUUCGUUGAUAUUCCAGUUCAACACAUUGAAACUGUAAAUAACAACCGGAACUGCUAAGAAAUUUAUAGCUAACACCUUUUCACGUGCAUUUAUCUCGGAUUUUUAGGACUGCUAGAACUCUCCUGUAACACUCCUUCCUGAUCUUCACUUUCAUACUUGCAUGUUGAAUGCCAGAGCCCUCAUUUAUUCCGAGUUAUUUGUUUGUUUCUGCUCGAGUUCUUUUAUGACUGUGCCAACAUCCAACACCGCUGAAUGUGGUCUUCUUCUUCUUCUUCUUCUUCUUCUUCUUCUUCUUCUUCUUCUUCUUCUUCUUCUUCUUCUUCUUCUUCUUCUUCUUCUUCUUCUUCUUCUUCUUCUUCUUCUUCUUCUUCUUCUUCGCUAAGGCGGGAGGUAUUGUUUUCAGUCGCGUUUGCUUGUUUGUCCGUAGACAAGAUAUCUCAAGAACCGCUGAAUGGAUAUGGGUGAAAUUUUCAGGUAUGUUUGGCCUUGUGACUGGCACGAAUUAAUUAGAUUUGGGGAUCGAUUUGGUACUGGACGAGGAUUCUGGAUUAUUUUUUCUGUUUUUUUAAAAAAACUUUUUGAGAGCGGUCGGGUUCAUUUUUAGCAUUCUCGUCUGUGAGGGCAGUCGAGUUUAUUUCAGAUAUUCUCAUUUUAAAAAUCUCUCUCUGGCUAAUUGUUGAGAAGACAUUGGUGUUGCUUUAGCAGAGGUUUGCGGUCUCUGAGUGCUCUUGUUAUUAUUAUUUUCAUAUUCACUCAAGAGAUUAGGCUGUUGGAAAAGAAAAGAAUACUAACAUCGGGUUACAGCAAGUAACCUUAGAUGCUAAGGACCCUCCUAAGUAUCCUAGCUGUCCCUAAUAACAUUGUUUUCUGGAUUUGUACUAAACUUGGUUUUAUGCCUAUUUCCUUUAUCUGUUUGUUCAGAUCUUUAGGGAUAGUUCCCAAUGCACCUAUAACUACUGGGAUACAUUUUACCCGCACUUAUCGCAGUCUCUGUAAAACAAUAGCUAGGUCCUGGUACUUUGCUAUUUUUCUAUACCUCUCACAUUUGGGACUGUAAAGCCAAUUAUCUCGCAUUUCUAUUCUCUUUUAUCUAUUAUUAUUAUUAUUAUUAUUAUUAUUAUUAUUAUUAUUAUUAUUAUCAUUAUUAUUAUUAUGAUGCUGAAAAACUAUCGGAAAGUUCUUAAUUACCGGUUAUUCUUUACUUCAAAGCAGGCAAUAACAAAUCACCUGAGUUUCAAGUAGUGCCUUCUCCUGUGACUCAAAGACACAAUACACUCCUUAGAAUGCGAGCUGUACCCGGAAUACAAAAGCAACAAUCAAGAGCAUGGCAAAUAAUAUGGGAUCCUGGCUAAUUGUCGCUUUUGUAAUGCCAUACAGACGGGUGUUAAGUGCACCAGUAGCGAAAACUAUUAUAUUGUCGAAAGGAGUCAGCGAAGAGUUGCAAGUCCUGAUGACCUCCUCAGCACUCUACUGCAUCUAAAGCAGUGAAACAGAAGGAAGGGGUAGACCUGGAUUUUCAGUUGUUACGCUUUUGGUAGCAACAGCCUCUUGAGGGGUUUUUGAACUAAAAAAUUGGGAAAAUGCAUAAAUGUCUAGCAGGGUCCGCAAGCUGCUGAUUGAUAACAACAGAAACAAAGAUCCAAUCAGUCGGAGAAAACACGAAGACAGAAAAAAAAAUCUUCAAAUUUUAGGAGAGUACAGUCGGUUGUACUGACUACUAUACCAUACUAAUAUUUUAUUGAACACCUCGAUAUAUUUCAGCUAGAAUGUAAAUAAAUACCGUGACCUAUUUCGAUAAAGUGAUGGAAGGCAAAAAACGUAAUAAAUUGGAAAGAUAUUAAUUUUGCAUAGCAGAGCUACAGGAGAAAGACAGUGUAUUUUAGAGAUAUUUUUGUUUAUUUCCGAUAGCGCCAUCUGUAAAUAAGUGAUCUAUUUGAAUAGUAUAUUCCGAGUAUUAGUAGUAACACCAUCUAUAUACUGUAUUACAUAAAUAUAGACAAAAAGCCAAUACUAACACUAACAUUAUGUAGAACUGUGAAAAUGCAAUAAAAUUCGAAGCUUAUAUUUCUGUAUAUUUCUGAUGAUUAUAAAAUAUAUUUCAUAAAAAGAAUUUAAAAAAUAUAUAUGAAAUAUAACAUUAUCUAAAAAAGAAAUGAGUACGAUCAAUUUCUUACAUGAUGUAAUGAUUUCUAACAUUGAAGAGAAAUUUCGAGAAAAUGUAAUUUCCUAGUUCUCGCUUCAUUUCAUCACGCCACUGUACAUUAUUUUGAAAAUUUCCUGGUUUAAAGAAUAAUUCAGAAGCUGUUUCGAUACUUCAGGUAUUUCAAAUUUAAUUACACCGCUGUUUUCCGCUAGCUACAUUAAACAAACUGAAUUAGACCUAAAGAAAUUUAAAAUUUUAAUUACGCCUCUCUACUCCACCAGCUAGGAUAUAUAAAAUUAAUCACGCACUCUUCUUUCAUUUUAUUUAUAUUUCGUGUGAUCCACUGCUCAUUUAACGAGAAAUAUCACUCUAACUUAAUUAUAGAAAUAAUGACAUAAAAUAACACUUAAGAUAUACAUUUAAGAAUAUAUAUGUAUAUAUAUAUAUAUAUAUAUAUAUAUAUAUAUAUAUAUAUAUAUAUAUAUACACACAUAUAUAUACAUAUAUAUAUGCUAUAUACAUAUAUAUAUAUGCUAUAUAUACGUACAUACAUAUAUAUAUAUAUAUUUACACACACACAAACACAUACACACACAUGCACAAAACAAACAUUUUUCUCCUACUUAGCUGCUGCCACUGGUUAGCGCUGUCAAACGUGAAAUUAUUUCGUUUGUAUAUUGUGUGUCUCGGAAAUAUUUAAAAGUUUCUAAACCAAAGACUAUCUUAUUCUAAAUUUCUUCCCAAUAAAUGUCUGUUAGGAUAUAAUUUCUAGAACCUCUAAGCAAUUUAGUUUAGAAAUAUUACAAUUCCGAUGUUUAGUUCUUGUGUAGCUCAUAAUUGCAUCAUUAACUCAAAUACACUUGUCAUCUAAACUAACAGGCUAUAUUAUUUUCUCGCAGGUAUUUGAUACUGGGGAAUUUCAACCGUGUUUCGUGGUCUGCUACCACAACAGCUUCUUUAUAGGAUCCAGUUAGCACAAGACAUCAUCAGGAGGAACCACGUCCGGUUACGGCCCCUACUCCUCUACCGUUUUGAUGUCCCCCCCCCCACUUUCGGAGGUGUCUUCAGCUUUGGUGUUGGGUGCAUGUCUUCUUUAUUCUGUUCACUGACCUCUUCGAUGUAGCGUCAACGAGUGUCAGCGGGUGACUGACUGCCUUGUCAAUUUUUUUCUCCUUUAAAUACCUGCUGCUAGGCUCCAGCAGGCAGCCCCAGCAAGUUGUCAUGCGACACUGUCUCAACUUUAACUGACCAAUGAAGGCGCGUAGUCUUUUCCCACGCAUUCUCUAAACGAGAGAGUCCUAUAAUUUCAAAAUAUAACUUCACCAACUGGUGGAAAUCAGUUGAAACAUUGUGCAUAGAUAACGAAGCUGAUAUUAACCGUUGUACGUUGAAACUUUCUGCCUGCACUCAUGGUGACUUAACUCGUGGUUUGUGAUAUCACAAGUUUGCAGAUUUCAGGUUAGUUGAUCUCCAUAAACUGGCUGUCAACAUGGUACCUUUUCCUUCAUUAUAUUUCGUCAUACCUCGCUUUGCCUCUCUAAUAGUUCGAGGCGGCCAGUAAAUCUGAGCAUAGAACUUCUUUUAUAGAAACUUGCACACCAAACAUAGUAUGUGAUCAAAGAUGCAGUUGCUGUCUGAUACUUGUCACUAUAUUUCAAGGUUGCAUGUCAAUGGAUGUUGAUGAUUAAACCCCAAGCUUAUGGAAUAAGAAUAGCAACUGUUUUACUGAGUGAAUUCCGAGCAAUGUAAAAAACAAUCAUGCGUAAUAUUGUUCUAUAUGGACUUAAAUGUUUUUGUGUAUUUUACUGGAAAUAAUACCGCUAUGUAUCGUUAUGCAAACGUUAUUCAUAUGCCCCUCUGAAGAGUUGACUAUUAUGCCUAGACGUAAGACUUUCUUGCAUUGGUACAAUGGAGAAGUUAUGAAUGAUAUGGAAGCCACGGAAGAUGAGUCCAAUAUGCUUGACUUUUAAGUUCUAGAAAUACCAGGAUACCACUGUUAAGGACGACAAAAGAAAUCAAUGAACAGGAACUGUAGUGUAACAGUAUCUGACCUAUUAAAUUCUUUCACUAUUAGUCGCUGUUUUUGAAUAUUUCACUAGUCUUUAUCUUUGACUACUGUUGGCGACUUGCAAAACAACCUUGUUUAUUAAAUCAUAGUCUUUAAUGAUUGCCGAAGGAAAGUGAAAGUGAAUAACACUUGAAAUGUAUGGUAACUUUACCUAAUGAAUAUCAAGGCUAUCUAAUAAGUGUAGUAUCUAGAUGGAUUGCAGUUCAUGCUAUUUGGUCAUAGUAGUUCCAACAGAUGUGCAUUUCUUUCCAUCUACUUUGCUUUCCUACAUCUGUUAUAUUAUAAUAUUGUAUUGUUUAUUGAAUAAAGGUUUUGUUAAUAAAGUUUAUGCCGGUUUAUUUGCUUUACAAAUAUUUCAAAAUACUGAAUUCUUACCUUAGAAUAUUCUUUUAAUUUUCAAUUCUUAUUUCAUAAAGGUUCUGGUUCAUUUAAUUUCCUUGAAUGUCAUUUAGGUUUUAUAUUUUUAUUUGUUUAAUGUUUAUUAGGAAUGUCUAUUUUGUACCCUUGUAGGGUUUUAACAUGCAUCAUCUUGUGACAAAGGCAUAUAUUUAAUCACUGAAUGUUGUGAAUGAAAAUAUUUCCUGGAAAAGUCCCCGGAUGAUGGAUAUUGGAACAGCCUCUAGAUAUAGGAUUUAGUGACGGUUAUGAAAACAAGCCGUCCCGGACUAAACACAGGAUGAGCUUUAGCAAAGAAAAGCACCCGACAGAUAGGUCAUCCAAUUUAGAAUUACAGGUGAAGCCAUGGAUUGUAGUAUAGUGGAAGUACAGUAUCGAUAAGGAGUAAUCACUCGACUAAUGGGGAAACUUGCACAAUGCGGAACAGAGUAACUUCUGUAAGGGCAAUGGCAGGGUCACCAUGUUCUCGAAAUGCCUUAUCACUAACGUCUAUAGACCAAACAAUCUGGGAUGUUAUUGGCCAAGAAAAGAUUUCAACGACACACACACACACACACACACACACACACACACACACACACACACACACACACACACACACACACGAACGCACACACACACGAACGCACAAACAUGAAUCAGAUCGUCAUUCCAUAUUACCCGUUACUCGGAUAACCAAGAAACGCGUUCUGCUUUAGUACCGGCUGUGGCUCAAAAUUCAAAACAUCAACUUCAGAGCCAAACUAGCUAGUUUUCAUUAUUAAAAUGCAAAUGCACAACCAUAAUCUCAACUUUCAAUGUGCGAACUAUAAAAAUCUGUGUAAGCUUGACUAGAUAUGUUAAGAGUGUUUACAAAGUCUCUGUAUAUUAAUAUUUUAUAACUUGACUGUCAAUUUAAAUACCAUUCAAGAAUGAUAGGAAUACAGAAUUUUUUCUUGCAGUGUCAACGAUCUUGUCAGUACUGUCUCUUCUGCAAGUUUUACUGGAGUCGUAGAAGAUAGCUAAUCGAUGCUUUACAGUAGAUCAAAGAUCGUAAUUAGAGUUAUAUUGAUCGUCACAAAUUUCUUUUUUUCUAGUUUCGAAAAUAAUCAUUCAAUUAGUGAAACGUUGAAGUUUAUUCUAGUUUGAGAUAAAUUUCUAAAAUAAACAUCAGAAAAUUUAUACAUCUUUAAUAUGCCGAGCAAAAAUAUAGAUCGUAAAGAAACAUUGAUAAGUACAUAAAAAAUUUCCUGUUUUAAACUCUAAUCAAUUACGUUUAUAUUACGCAUGAUCACCUUCAUAGAAAUAAAUAACUUAGAAAACAUGUUUUCUAAAUGUUAGCAAAGGUGUAUCAUAUUCAGAGGGAUGAAAUGAAUCUGGGACAUAGAUGAUUUUAUUGGAUUUGAAAACAGAGCGCAAUAGCCCAACUGGCCUCUCUCUCUGUUAUAGUUUCAGCCUCAUAAAUAUUGGUUUCUAAUUUUAGCACAAGGCCAGCAAUUUCGGGGUGGGAUGGGAGAUGGAGGUAAGUCGAUUAUAUCGACCCCAGUGAUCAACUGCUACUUACUUUAUUGAUUUCGAAAGGACGAAAGGCAAAGUCGACCCCAUCAGCAUUUGGACUCAGAACGUAAAGACGGACGAAAUGUCGCUAAGCCCGGCGUGCUAACGAUUCUGUCAGCUCACCGUCUUUAGCUUCAUUACUAUUAAAAAAAAACACAUCAAAGCGACGAGUUGGCUGAAUCGUUAGCAUUGCGGACAAAAUGCUUAGUGGCAUUUCUUCAGUCUUUGUGUUCUGAGUUCAAAUUCCGCCGAGGUCAACUUUGUCUCUAAUUCCUUUCGAGGUCGAUGAAAUAAGUAGCAGUUGAGCAUUGGGGUCGAUGUUAUCGACUUAUCCCACACCCAAAAUUGCUGACCUUGUACUUUUGAUUUAGGAACAAAAUUAGUAAUUUUUCGAAGCGAGGGGAUUUGUCAAUUCCAUCGACUCCAGUAUUUAAUUGGUAAUUUCGUGUAUCGAUUCCAAAAGGCUGCAAGGCUAAAUUCAUCUGAGCGAGAUUUCAGCUCAGAACGCCAGAUCAUAUACUGCGAAGCGUAAUUUAUGUCACUAAGCCAUACUCACUUGCGAGUGACAUCUACAUGAGUGAUACUUUUUAGUUUUUAGCACCUCAGUUUUGGAUGAGAAAAAAAUAUUUUUUAAUAUAUACAUAUCUAUUACAUUUCUGUCAGUUUGACUUCUAAUCGUCAUCAGGUAUCUUAUCUAUGCAUAUGAGGAACUCAGUACCAGGCUGGAUUGAAAAUAAGAAUAUUUAUUUAUAAAUUAAGGGUAAAAACACUCGUAUCUAUUAAGCAGCUUAUGCAUCUGAUGGCAAUCGGAGAGCAAAUUGAAUGAAACGUACAAAAGCCUCAUGAAGUAGAAUCGAUUAUGUCACGAGUCCACUUUCCCAUCAGCUUAUAAGCUGCAUCAAUUCAAAUUUAACGUAAGUGAGGAACUGAUUUACUUGUGAGUGUACCAGACAAAAUACAUUGCAGUUAUUUGUUCCACUUUCUUAUAUUCUGAUUUCAAAUCCCAAAGAAGCCAACUUUGCUACUUAUUCGUCCAGGGUUGAUAUAUAGAGUACCAUUCUUGGACAGUGAACUGGCAGAAUUGUCGUAGCAUCGGAUGUGUGUCGCUCCAGCUUUUUGUGUUCUAACAUAAAAUACCAUAGUGGUCUAUUGCAGUAGUAGACCUAAUCCAUUGCUUAGUUUAACGCCACCAUCUGGUCACUGGAUGCCUUUUACGGACUCUAAUCUGUUGCAAGCAUUGAUACCGUAUUUCUUAUUUCUUUAUUGCCCACAAGGGGCUAAACACAGAGAGGACAAACAAGGACAGACAAACAGAUUAAGUCGAUUAUAUCGACCCCAGUGCGUAACUGGUACUUAAUUUAUCGACCCCGAAAGGAUGAAAGGCACAGUCGACCUCGGCGGAAUUUGAACUCAGAACGUAGCGGCAGACGAAAUACGGCUACGCAUUUCGCCCGGCGUGCUAACAUUUCUGCCAGUUCGCCGCCUUUUUCAUUCAUACCGUAUUUCUGGUCAGUGGGGACCUAUUUACCUGUCUGCAACUAGCUUCAGAGGCCUUGUGAAAAGCCAUGGACAUCGCCUUUCACUCCUAAUUAAAGGAUUAAAAAAAUACUGCGUAACAUCUAGUUAUGAUGAUUUCCUUAUUUGAUAAUGUUCAAAGGGACUGACGAUAUAGCCAUUAAUCAUUACAUUAAUGAAUAUGGAAAUUUACUUACUACGUCCUCAGAAAGACCAACCAAGUUCAGAUACUUUCAUAAAUUAAAUCAAAAUUAAAAGUUUGAUGAUCUAUCAACUGAAUUACGUGAGUGUUAUAUUAGUGGCCUGGUAGCAGAAGUGCGACGAAAUUUUUGACACUGCAUUUUAAGAUAUGAAAAUGUUUCUGUUCCGUUUGAGAUACUCUUUGUUGUUGCUUAGAUGCAAUCCCUCUCACAUAAUCGCAUAAAAUUUACUUUUACUUCCUCAUUAAGGUCUCUUAUUAAGCGUUCAUUCUCCGUCUUGAAAUAUUCACGUGACUGUAUUGUGUUUUUUUUUAUAUGUCACAGUUUUUAUAAACAAUAGCAUCGUUGGUUCCACGUUUCUGAAGUUAAAUUCAGUAACCCCAAUUAAAUGCAGCAAUUGGUUGGGUUACUGAAUUUACACAGAGAGAGAAUAAAAAAGGGCAGUUUGUGUGUGCAACUCGGGAAGAACAAAUAUCACAAGGUAUUUGCUCGAAGGUACCAGUUUAUUGUUUUCUUCGUUGAUGUUUACACCUUUCGCCAAAAGACAUACACGUAUACAUGCAAUGGGCUUCUGCGCAGAUCGAAUUCUGCUCAUAAAGUAACGGUUAACUUUAGUCUAUGGUAGAGGACAAUUGUUCAAGGUGUUGUGUAAUAGGUUCGAACCAAGAGUCACGUAGUUGCACUGCAAACUGUUUUAGUUACACAGCCAUACCAAGUCCUUUUGAUGUUCAGAAAAUUACUGUUCGUAGUUAUAAUUUUCCUAUAACGCCGUGAUAGUAUCUCUCUUUCUUUCUCCUUGGUGUCUGCUAACGAGAUUAGAAAGUUUUUCCCUCUUAGAUAUUUCUUCUUCUUUUGUAGGUGCAAUAUUUAUCUCUAUAUGCUUUACAACAUCUUUCCUCUUAGUGUCUGUACUGGCGUUUUUAAAGCAAUUCAGAUUAGCUAAAAAUAAACAAGCAACAACACAAAAUAACAACAAUGAACACAAACAACAUUCCCUUUUAUGUUAAACUUCGCAGAAAGUACUGUCAAUAAAUAAUUAAGUUGACGAUAAAAUUCAGCUAAACUUUUGUACCUUUUGAUCAGAGAGAAAAAUCUAUGUGGAAAACUGGAUAGUUUUGGUGUAUUUAUAGAAGUCAAUAAAUACAAUAUACAUACAUACAUACAUACAUAUAUAUAUAUAUAUAUAUAUAUAUAUAUAUAUAUAUAUAUAUAUAUUUGUAUGUGUAUUUAUGGGUGUGUGUGUAUAGUUUUUACAGAAAUCAAUAAAUACUAUAUAUGUAUAUAUAUAUAUAUACACACACAUAUCACAUACAUACAUAUACGCAUACACAUGCACAUACACACUCGCGCGCACACACACACGCCACGCAUAUAGAUUAACACAUGCACAUACAUACACGUGUGUAUGUGUGUUUUCUGUUUGGCAAAGCAAAGAAGCUCUACAGUUCAGAUGCUAAACUUCAGAAAAAGAAAGGAGGUAGAAGGAAAAUUAAAAUGUUCAUACAUUUCCGUCUGUUAUUAAGGACGUAUACAUGAGAUGGAACUAAAAUAGCAUCAUGAUGUCGGUUUGAUGGGAGCUUACGUUGUUAUUUCUGUUCUUUACAUUUAAGUUAGCUUUGAUUGAGCAGGCCAAUUAGAAAACAUACUUCAAUACUGAUCGUCUUGUUAUUUUACUGGGUACAGGGUACCUAAGGACCACAUUAUCCAAAGUGCUCUAUUUUUUGUGUCAAGUGAGAGGUUUCGGUUUGAGGGAAAUUUUGAUUGCUAUUUUCAGCAUAUCGUAUAAUACAGCUUUGUUAUCAUAAAUAUAAACAUUAUUGUAUAAUUAAUAGGAAUAUAAUACAUAUACCUUUGGAAUUUUAACCCUCCGUUGGUGUAGGUAUUUUAUUUAUCAAGAGUUUCUGUACAAUUGUUUCUCAAAAGACAUUUUAAUCUUACAUAAAGAAAAUUUCAUCUAUUGGACAAUUGAAAGAAAAUUGAAAAACUAAGGAAGGCAAACAAAAAGCGCAGACAUUUUAUUUGGUAAACCAUUUGGUAGUCCUUGUCACUGAUCGCAUUCUCGUCCUUGUCAUCCUUACCAUAGCAGUGAACACAAACUAUGAAUGAAUGAUCCAAUCAGAUGGGUUUCGAACACUUUUGAGAGCUAUUCUUUGUCUUUUGAUCCUUUGAUUUGGGGUACAAUGUGUAUCUUUCUGGAAAACUUGCACGACGGCGUUUUGGAAGUAAUUUCUUAGAUGAGAAGUGGUGGAUCUUCUUUUUCAGGUUUCUUUUCAAACCCGGAACUGUCUUUUCGAUGGUUAAUAUGGUCUUCUACCAACUUCAUCCCUAACAUUUUCGAAAAAUUCCGCCGCAUGAUGGUUGAUUGAGAGUUUGCCAUGCAUAUAUUGAAUGCAUUUAUUCCUACAACAUUGAGUGUGGUGUAAAAGCUGUAAGAGGCCAGCGUCGAGUAUUUUGGGAACCAUUAUAUGUUGAACACAACUGGUCAACGUUAUCCACCCCUCCUUUAGUACAGUUGUAGAAGGUAUUGACCAUUGGUUCCUUUUUUCUUUGGUGUCUGCAUUAACUGCAGUAUCAUCAUGAUGCUUUGUGCUGAGUAAUACUACACACGUUUCUUGCUUAUAUAAGAGGUCAGUUCGGCGUUUUUCUGGAAAUCAAACAAACUUGUAUACUCUGUUGUACCUUUGACAGCAACAAGGAUUUUUCUCUUGUUUUUCCUCAUUAGUGCCACUAAUGUUAGUUUAUAAUCCCUCUGGAGGUCGACUACUAGAACGUAACUGGUACACCAGAUGUCCACCGUAAUGUUUCUCUCAGUUCUGCUGAUAUAAGAAACAAUUCACUUUACUACUGCCUUUAUAGUUAUCUACUACAAAAGGGCUUUCUAGUUGCUUUCCCAAGUAGACUUCUAUGUUUAACACAUAAUGGGUUUUAGUAUCAGCCAAUGCAAAUAUUUUGAUACCAUAUUUAGCUGGCUUAUUUGGUAUGUAUUGCGUAAAAGGACAAUCAUCUCUAAAGGCAGCCAGCAUUUCAUCCACUGUCAUAUAUUUUUUGAGUGUAAUUGGAUUUAAGUUAUCAACAAAUGUCUCAAAGAAGUUUCUAAAAGUUGUAAACUUAUUUUCUGCUCUCUUUUCAGCCCGUGUGUGGAUGUUAUCAAACCUCAAAGAAGCCAGCAGGAAACGAAAGCGCUGCAGAGACAUAGUUGCUUGAAAUAUCUCUAUUCCUGUUCCAUCAGCUGCUCAAACAUACUCUAUAUUCAUUCGGUUAGAUCUAAAGCUCCCAAGAGACAAAGCGGUCCUGUUACAGCUUUCUCUCCCUUUCAUUGGUUUGUCUGAUUCGGGAUUCCUCUUUAAAUAUUCCUUAAUUAGUGUCAAUAUAGAUAUUAGUGCAUCAUCUUAAGUCAUUCAGAAGGCCUGGAGUAAAUAACAGAUCCCAUCACUCCACUACAUCAUGCACGUCUCUUGUUUUUCCUCUUCGUUCAGGGGUACCUCGUAUAAUGUUAUGUGCGUGUAUGCUCCGUGGAAGAGCUGGAGGAACUUUGUUCCAAACAGUUUGAUCUCUGCUGAUAAACUUACAGUCUCUUGACCUAUUACUCUGUGGAUUUGGAUUUGCCUUAUUAGCUUCAGUUACUUCCUCCUCUUCAGUUACUUCCUCCUUUUUUCUGUUGUACUCUCGUCUUUUUCUUCUCCAUCCACUCUUGGUUCCCCCUCUUCUUCAUCAUCCCCUCUUUGUUCUUUACUUACUAGUGCUUCGUCUUCUGACUCCAGUUUAUCUCGUUCUUCUAGGAGUAAUAUAUCAUCCUCUUUAUCUAGCUCUCUUUCAUUCAUUUCUGUCAACCGUUCUAUUUGUUUGCAAUAAUUCAUUUUGAUUUUGAAAAUAGAAAGCCGCCAUAAAUAUGUAUCAUAAAAAUAAGAACAACACAAAUGUAUAUUAUAUGUGUAUCCUGAUCCUUAUGACACACAUAUACGAUAAUAAAGGAAAUAUAUGCUUUAGAAAAAUUACCUAUGAGAAAGGAGUGGAGGAGUUUGCAACACUCCAAGACGCAAUUACUGUAUGUAUACUCCCUCCCUUUGCCAACAGUACACUGAGCAACCUGUUGUAUCAGCUCAGUGCACAUUGGCAGGAAAUUACAUGGGAAGAUACUGUUUCACUGUUGUCAAACGCAAAAGAUUACUUUGGCUAAGCCAUAACCCGCUGCACCAAUGGAGGGUUAAGCCCGUUGUGAUCUGCUUUUCGUUUUAAAUAAUUCUUUCUGUUGUUGGCACAAUAUCCGAACGUUUAGGAGAAGGGGUAGUCCAUUACAACAACACCUGUGAUCAACUGGAACUGAUGUCAUCGACCUCGAAAGGAGGAAUGGCAAAAUUGGCCUCGGUGGUGCUGAGCUCAGAUCGUAAAGCCACAAGAAAUGCCGCUAACCAUUUUUGACCGGCGCAGUAACGAUUCUGUCAGCACGUCGCCUUGUGUUGAUAAAAUAAUGAUUUCAAAUGUUGACACAGGGCCAGCAACUUUGAAGUGGAGCGGGCUAGUUGACUCCAGUACUUAACUUGUGCUUAUUUUAUCGGCGCUGAAAGGAUAAAAUGUAAAGUCGACCUCGGUAGAACUUGAACUCAGAAAGUAAAGCCGGAAAAACUACCGCUAAGCAUUUUGUUCGGCGCGGUAACGACUCUGCCAGUUCGCGACCUUUUGUUGGUUAAAUAAGACGUAUUAAAUGUAUACUAAAAUUACUUGACUGAUUACCUUGCCUUCCCUUGUACAUCCAGCUUCUGAUGAAGUUGUAGCAAUGAAACUGUGACCUACAGCAUGUUUUGGGUAUCUAAAUCUUUCAGAGAUCGUUCUCCUCCUAGUCUGACUACAUUUCAUCCAUUCAGAGAGAGAGAGAGAGAGAGAGAGAGGGAGAGAGAGAGAGAGAGAGAGAGGUAGGGGAAUAAUUCCCUUCUUGAUUUCUCCCGAAACGACGAGUUGACAUCCGUAGUAUUUGAAUUGAGAACGUAGAGAGCUCCAACAAACUCCGCAAGAUAUUUUACCUAAUGCUAUAACGACUCUCUCAAUUCACCGCUUUAUAAGAAAAUUAAUAAAAAGAUUAAUGAUUAUUCUAAAGGGACACUAUACGAAAUGGUAACUCUUAAGGUUGAAUAGACAAAGGCCAUCAAUAUUGACAUAAGGACUGACUGCAUCAAUUAUCCAAUAGAACCAGUUUUUGUUUUUGUAAAAGAAUUUAUAAAUCAACACAAAAAUGUUUUCUUUCCAUCGUUAGAUCUAGAACAACGGAUUAUCGAGAGACUCGGAGACCAAGCAGAUCGAUUAGUGGUGUUAUUCUUGAACAAUUGUAAAUAUAUGGCAACAUGAAAGAUCUAGAGAGGAAAAGAAUUCCAGAGGCUUGGCAGUGUGAAGAGAAAGGAUUGGGAAAAAGAAGUUAGUGUUGGGCCUGGUAUGGUAAACAAGGUUAUAAUAUGGAUGACGAGAAGAGGAGAGACGUGCGGAUUGGGAAGAUUGGGUGAAAAUGGCAAGAGGUCAACUAGUUUCCAGAAGCAGAGGCUGCUACAAUAUCGGUUGCUGAAGAUAAGGACUGAUUUCUCGUGGAGACGUACUUGUGAUAUUUUUUAAAAGUUGCUUGCAAUAAUUUAAUUUAAUUUAUAAUUUCCUUUGAGAAACAAAGAUGAUUAUCAAAAAAUGUUAGACUAAAUCUCCUAUGAUUCUAAAGUCUGAUUUCUAUAUGAGGAAUUAACUUAAGAUGUUGUUUAGCUUCAGGUAAUAUGUUAGAACAGAACUAUGAUAAAGUCCUCCAGAACCUUCCCAUUUUUUAAAUUAUAAGGUAAUGCUAUGUAGGACCAUAGUAUCCGAUGUGCUCUUCCUUACAUAAGAUAAUAUAGCUUGACUUGAGGGAGAGUUGCACUUUCGUUCUGAGUCUUCCACGUUUGCAAACAAAGAAAUGUGUAAUAAUUCAGAAACAUAAUGACUUAUAUUCAUUGACUUUAAGAUAUGGUAAUGAUUGUUUUUGAAAUUUAAGCAUUAGAUAUAAGCAGUUUUGAGAGUUGUAUAACAUGUAUUAUAUGUAUCGUUUUAGAGAUAUCUAUGCACUUUUCGCUCUGAACGAUAUUUAUAAUGAUAAUGCUUUUCCUUUUCACAGAUUUUAUUAAAAUUUCUAAUAU